rnacentral:rRNA from 1 species
GACGAACGCUGGCGGCGUGCUUAACACAUGCAAGUCGAACGGAAAGGCCCUGCUUUUGUGGGGUGCUCGAGUGGCGAACGGGUGAGUAACACGUGAGUAACCUGCCCUUGACUUUGGGAUAACUUCAGGAAACUGGGGCUAAUACCGGAUAUGAGCUCCUGCUGCAUGGUGGGGGUUGGAAAGUUUCGGCGGUUGGGGAUGGACUCGCGGCUUAUCAGCUUGUUGGUGGGGUAGUGGCUUACCAAGGCUUUGACGGGUAGCCGGCCUGAGAGGGUGACCGGCCACAUUGGGACUGAGAUGCGGCCCAGACUCAUACGGGAGGCAGCAGUGGGGAAUAGUGCGAGAUGGGCGGAAGCAUGAUGCAGCAACGCCGGGUGCGGGAUGACGGCCUUCGGGUUGUAAACCGCUUUCGCCUGUGACGAAGCGUGAGUGACGGUAAUGGGUAAAGAAGCAACGGCUAACUACGUG